rnacentral:misc_RNA from 1 species
UCCGGUUUGAAACCGGCAGUCGCGUUAGACAUGGUAACUAACGCCGAGGGUUGCGCUCAUACGGGACAUGUCAAAGGUUGGUAAGGUUCUGCGCGUUGCUUCGAAUUGAACCACAUGCUCCACCGCUUGUGCGGGCCCCCGUCAAUUCCUUUGAGUUUUAAUCUUGCGACCGUACUCCCCAGGCGGGAUGCUUAAUGCGUUAGCUGCGCCACUGACAGGCAAGCCUGCCAACGGCUAGCAUCCAUCGUUUACGGCGUGGACUAC